rnacentral:rRNA from 1 species
UACAGAGGGUGCGAGCGUUGUCCGGAAUCACUGGGCGUAAAGGGCGCGUAGGCGGCUCGGUAAGCGUGCGGUGAAAGCCCGGGGCUCAACCCCCGGGUCGGCCGUGCGAACUGCAGAGCUGGAGCACUGUAGAGGCAGGUGGGAAUUCCGGGUGUAGCGGUGGAAUGCGUAGAGAUCCGGAAGAACACCGGUGGCGAAGGCGGCCUGCUGGGCAGUUGCUGACGCUGAGGCGCGACAGCGGUGGGGAGCAAAC